AUUACUUCUUUUUCUUAUUUUACAAAAAACAAAAAAAACACUCUUGAAAUCCGGUUUUUAAGAGUUACCAUUCAGAACCUUUGUUAACACCGUACCACCUCAAAGAUUAUCAUCAAGAAGAAUCCAGAAUCAACAAAACAAUAAAAAGAAUAAAAAUGGGGUUACUCGUCGUCGUCUUCCUCAUGAGAUUCUCUGGUUCGUUGAAUCUUUCUUGUUUUCUUGCUAAAAUCGCUUUAUUUGUUCUUCAACCAUGUUUUUCCUAUUCGCAUGGUGGCCUUUGGAUUUUAAUUUCGCAUUUUGUUCUUCUUUUGCACUACACCAUAUCAAAACAUAUAAAUCCAAAGAGUAACGACGUACUGCUCGUCAAACUUGUUGCCAACGUACUCUCAUUCACUAGCAUUGAGUCCAAGCGAACCAGCCACCUGAAGAUUCUCGUGUCUGACAGCCAUCAUGUCCUAGAGUUCAAUGAAUUUAACUCCGGUAGUGAGAUUGGCUCUCAAGUUCAAAGCGAGUUUUUCCAAGAUUCCAAUUUCAAUUGGAAUCGAGCAGCUGGAUUGGAACAUGUCAAAGGGACACAGACUAAUUAGGAAAAAUGAGUUGAUUUCUUCAAGGAAUUGCAAAAUCGGUGCGAUACUGAUCACUUCUUCUCUGUUCAAUUGCGUCGCCGACGAAGGAAAAGUGAACGUCGUGGAUACAAAUACUAUUAUCAUAUAUGUAAAUUAGAAGAGAAAUACUAUUAUCAUAUUAGGAGAUCUCGGAGAUACGAGAUCGAGUUAAAUGGAAAUUGAUAUAUGUGUAUAUCUAAAAUAGGUAGAUUUACUAUCAUAUGUAAAUUACUUGGUAAUCAAGUUUUAUACUUUGUAUAAAUAAGCCUAAAUGUUAAUGAAUAAAAGGGAGAGAAACUAUUUCACUUCUAAGGUUUCCUCCAAACUUA
rnacentral:lncRNA from 1 species